rnacentral:piRNA from 2 species
UGGUGAAGAGAACUGGUUGCACAUUCUGA